CCUACGGGAGGCAGCAGUGAGGAAUAUUGGUCAAUGGGCGAGAGCCUGAACCAGCCAAGUAGCGUGAAGGAUGACUGCCCUACGGGUUGUAAACUUCUUUUAUAUGGGAAUAAAAUGUUCCACGUGUGGGAUUUUGUAUGUACCUUAUGAAUAAGGAUCGGCUAACUCCGUGCCAGCAGCCGCGGUAAUACGGAGGAUCCGAGCGUUAUCCGGAUUUAUUGGGUUUAAAGGGAGCGUAGGUGGGUUGUUAAGUCAGUUGUGAAAGUUUGCGGCUCAACCGUAAAAUUGCAGUUGAAACUGGCAGUCUUGAGUACAGUAGAGGUGGGCGGAAUUCGUGGUGUAGCGGUGAAAUGCUUAGAUAUCACGAAGAACUCCGAUUGCGAAGGCAGCUCACUGGACUGCGACUGACACUGAGGCUCGAAAGUGUGGGUAUCAAACAGGAUUAGAUACCCGAGUAGUC
rnacentral:rRNA from 1 species